rnacentral:misc_RNA from 1 species
CUACCAAUCAAAUUUACACUGUAAUUGCCCAAUAUUCAACUGACUCCUGCCUCAAUUAGCAAGGGAGACAUGUUCAUAAUUUGUUAGAAGGUCAAAGAAGAGAACACCAAGCAAUUGAUAAAGGUUUAUAAAUACAAUAUACAAACCCAAAGGAUAAACCAAUAUACAACAGAAGAUGAAACCAACACACCAAGCCCAGAAUACUGCAGGACCUAACAAGAAUAGAAUUAAAGAAACAAAAAACAAAACAGACCACAACUUAUGCAAAAACAGGACUAGGAACCCAACACCAUCCAAAGCCAUCAUCCUAAUCACAAGAGUUAGUCCCAACAGGUUUGAACCCCGAUCCUUUGGAGAUAAUAUGCCAUGAAUCUGAACUCAAAGCCAUAUAACUGAGUGAUUAGUUAGCAGAGGACACUUUCCGUAAACUUUACACAAUCACCAAAAUUUCCAUAAGGGACGAAUGAUCAAACACUAUAAAGGCAGAAGAUCAAAACAAAACUAAGCAACUAAACCAUCAAAACAAGGGAACACCCAGAGAAGCUGAAAACUGCCAGAGCACCACAAACCAAAAACAAACAAUUUAGCAUCCUAGAACCAAACAAUACCAAAAUAGACACGGAGACCCAAAGUUAAAGCCACCACAAAGAUCCAUGGCAGUGCACAAGGAGAUGAAAGCCGCUAUCCAUAGGUUUAACGAUAAAAAGGCUAGAUGCGACAUAAGAAGACUGAUACCACUAAACGAUGCUCCAAAGGCCAGGCCAAGAAUUCUUGCUCAGACCGCUUCUAACCAACUGGAAUUUGAGCAAACAAAGACACAACGAAAAAGAGAUUCUCACUACUGCAUUGUUCCAAUUUCUGAAAGCUUGCUUGUUCGUGUGGAUAGAGAUUUCAA